GGCUGGGUAGCUCAGUUGGUAAGAGCGGUGGAUUCAUAACCCACAGGCCGGCAGUUCAAGUCUGCCCCCAGCUACCA
rnacentral:tRNA from 1 species